AGUGAACGCUGGCGGUAGGCCUAACACAUGCAAGUCGAACGGCAGCACAGUAAGAGCUUGCUCUUACGGGUGGCGAGUGGCGGACGGGUGAGGAAUACAUCGGAAUCUACUUUUUCGUGGGGGAUAACGUAGGGAAACUUACGCUAAUACCGCAUACGACCUACGGGUGAAAGCAGGGGAUCUUCGGACCUUGCGCGAUUGAAUGAGCCGAUGUCGGAUUAGCUAGUUGGCGGGGUAAAGGCCCACCAAGGCGACGAUCCGUAGCUGGUCUGAGAGGAUGAUCAGCCACACUGGAACUGAGACACGGUCCAGACUCCUACGGGGAGCAGCAGUGGGGAAUAUUGGACAAUGGGCGCAAGCCUGAUCCAGCCAUACCGCGUGGGUUAAGAAGGCCUUUGGGUUGUAAAGCCCUUUUGUUGGGAAAGAAGAGCAGCAGGUUAAUACCCCGCUGUUCUGACGGUACCCAAAGAAUAAGCACCGGCUAACUUCGUG
rnacentral:rRNA from 1 species